AUACUUACCUAGCAGGGUAGAUGCCAUGAUCACAUAGGUGGUUUUCCCAGGGUGAGGCUUAUCCAUUGCACUCCGGAUGUGGUGACCCCUGUGAUUUCCCCAAAUUGGGAAACUCGACCACAUAAUUUGUAGUAGUGGAGGACUUCUGCGUGCUCUCCC
ensembl:snRNA U1 U1 spliceosomal RNA